rnacentral:rRNA from 1 species
UACGUAGGGGGCAAGCGUUGUCCGGAUUUAUUGGGCGUAAAGAGCUCGUAGGCGGCUUGUUGCGUCGACUGUGAAAACCUGCGGCUCAACCGUGUGGUCUGCAGUCGAUACGGGCAGGCUGGAGUUCGGUAGGGGAGACUGGAAUUCCUGGUGUAGCGGUGAAAUGCGUAGAGAUCGGGAGGAACACCGGCGGCGAAGGCGGCUGCCUGGACCAGUCCUGACGCUGAGGCGCGAAAGCUAGGGGAGCAAACA